rnacentral:rRNA from 1 species
AUUGAACGCUGGCGGCAUGCCUUACACAUGCAAGUCGAACGGUAGCGCGGGGCAACCUGGCGACGAGUGGCGAACGGGUGAGUAAUGCAUCGGAACGUGCCUGGUAGUGGGGGAUAACUGCUCGAAAGAACAGCUAAUACCGCAUACGACCUGAGGGUGAAAGGGGGGGAUCGCAAGACCUCUCGCUAUCAGAGCGGCCGAUGUCGGAUUAGCUAGAUGGUGGGGUAAAGGCCCACCAAGGCGACGAUCCGUAGCUGGUCUGAGAGGACGACCAGCCACACUGGGACUGAGACACGGCCCAGACUCCUACGGGAGGCAGCAGUGGGGAAUUUUGGACAAUGGACGCAAGUCUGAUCCAGCCAUGCCGCGUGCGGGAAGAAGGCCUUCGGGUUGUAAACCGCUUUUGUCAGGGAAGAAAUCUUCUGGGUUAAUACCUCGGGAGGAUGACGGUACCUGAAGAAUAAGCACCGGCUAACUACGUGCCAGCCGCCGCGGUAA